rnacentral:rRNA from 1 species
AUGGUAUCAGACCAGGCUGCAGCGGCGUCGAUGGGUCCGGAGGUGUGCGCCCCCGUGACAGCCGCAGGGGGGCUUCCUGAGCCGCGUGCUCUUGAAGCAUCAGCCCCCACUCCUCUGAGCGGCGGAGGAGACGUCCCGCCUGGGGACACGGCCUCCGCCCCCGCAGUGGGAGGCCACGUGCCAGGCUCCAGCGUGCUACCCUUCGGUCCUCGCGCAUCCCGGAGGAGGAAGGACAAGAGCAGGAAGCAAAGAAGAGGAAGAGGAGGCUUCCGCUGCUACUGUUGGCUACUGCUGCUAAGGGUGCUGCUGGAGCUGCUCUUGCUGAAGCUAUUUGCUGGAGUUGUUGCUGCUGCUGAUUGGAGAGGGAAGGAGGCAGUACUGGAGGUGGCAGUGCUAGGAGAAGAAGAGGUGGCGGCUGUUAUGGGGAACAAAGUGGGGCUGCUGCGUGAAGGCGGCAUGAAGGCAACUGCAGGCUAUGGUGGCGUUGAGGGGGAGUCAGUGUGGCUGGGAGGAGACGAUGGCCUGAAGAGGACACAUGUGCCAGGCGGGUCAAGUAUGUGGCAGCAGGUGUGUGCUUUGCUGCUUUCCCUCGGCGAAGUGAUGCAGGAAGUAGAGGAUAUGGAGAAAUGGGCUUUAUUGAGGACAGACCGACUGGAAGGAGGAUUGGGACUAAGGAUAACCGUUGACAGAGAAAUGUGCUUUAUUGAGGACAGACCGACUGGAAGGAGGACUGGGACUGGAACAAGGCCUAGAGGACCGUGGUACAUGGACCAUGAGGGGCGUGGUCAGAUGGGCAGCUCAGUGUUUGCGGCAAUUGUGGAAGAAAGCGAGUCCUCGGCGAUGAAACGUCACUUCAUGUAUCCUUUGAUAAAAAUGAUGUUUGUGUUCCACUCUUCAUAUGUCCAUUUGUUGGAGAUGAUUGCUUUUCAGUGUCGUUUGGCCUCCCACUUCUACCUACGUGAGGUAGCCGGCGAUGGUUCCGUACUCGGAGGGCUGGAGAUUGAGGUUGUGGUUGGCCAGCAAGGAGCCAAGCCUAAGAGGCUUUUCUUUUGGGUGUGCAUUUCGGCUGGCUCACGAUGCCCCUUCGAAGAGACUGACAAGGGAGGGGCACAGGCGGAGCUACGCUGGCCGGUGCUCGUAGCCCGCUCCGGCGAGGUCGAGCUGCCGUGCGCCCACGGCCCAGCCCGCUCCGGCGAGGUCGAGCUGCCGCGCGCCCACGGCCCAGCCCGCUCCGGCGAGGCCGAAAUCCCGCGCGCCCACGAACCAGCCAGGUCCGGCGAGGACGAGUUGUCGUGCGCCCACUCCGUCAAGACCAAGAUCCAGUGCGUCCAGGCCCCUGCCCGCUCCAGCGUGGCCGACUGUCGUGCGUCCGCGCGCCCGCUCCGGCGAGGUCGAGCUGCCAUGCGCCCACAACGUCAAGGCCGACAUACCGCGCGUCGUCACCUCUGCCCGCUCCGGCGUGGCCGACCUGUGGUGUGUCCGCGCGUGCCGCGCGCCCGCUCCGGCGAGGCCGAGCUGCCCUACUCCCGCGCGCCCAAUCCGUCAAGGCUGGCAUCCAACACAUCCAGGCACCUGCCCGCUCCGGUGAGGCCGAUGUUUCCGCUGCCCGCUCCGGCAAGGCCGAGGUCAUCGCGGUGCUCGAUUUGGUCGUUGGCUCUGGUGGGGCAGCCGCUGCCUGGGUCGACCAGCAGAUCGCUAGGGUCGACACCGGGCUGGACAUCGCAGUCUUGCCCCCAGUCUCUCUUCUUGGCCGGGGAUGCCUUACUCCAGGGAUCGCCAGGAGACGGGGUCCCACGCUCGCUCUUCCACUUCCUCUCCCACUUCCACCCCCAUCCGGCCGCGCUGCCGCCGCCCGCGCCCCCCGGUGACCGCUCAGGCGCUUCCCCGGCCUAUCUCCGCGCCGCCGCGCUUCCGCCCCAUCCCCUCCUAGUCCCGUCGGCCCUCGCGCGCCUCCGUCGUCCGAGGAACAGCGCCCGAGUGCUCGCUGCCGCGCCGCGCCCGCAAGGUGUUCGACAAAACGCUUACAAGAGAAUAGAGGCGACACUCCUGAAAACUUCCGAUCUCCAGCCCCCGCGUUGUUCCUUCCCCAUGGCCGACAUGGGCGGUGACCCAGCCAUAACGAGGUCUCCAGCCCCUGCCUCUCCCUCGCAGUCGCCGGCACCUCUCGUGGGCAAAGCUCGCGUGGAGCCCAACCCCUCUGCCUCUCCCUCGCAGUCGCCGACACCUCUCGUGGGCAAAGCUUGCGUGGAGCCGGCAGUGGCAGGGCUUCUCCCAGUGAGCCUGCCCUUCAGCGAUGCAAAAGGAAAUUUUAGUGGUUUACAUGUUUCUAGUAGUAUGCUAGAAAAUUUUAACCUUGUUUGCACAAAAGAGCUGGGAGUUAGUGACUUUUUUUCCCACAUCAUUAACUUUGAGCCUGCCCUUGAUUUUCUUACUAGAUUCGCCACUGCUCGCAUCCUCUGUUGCGGCUGGUGGAGGGGUUGCAGCAGGUUGCUUGGCGGUGACCCUUGCGUGGGUUCAGGUGCCUGGAUCAGGAGGUGCCCAUCUGGUCGUUCUGUUCUUUCGGGCCUGGCUCCCUUGGUUCGUGGUGAAGUGGUCGCUUGCUGUUGCUGGCGGGGCAUCGCCAAGAUGAGUGGUGUUGCUGGCGGUUGUGUCGUCUCCCACGCGCUGGCCACGGCGAUUUGCAUUUCGUGCUCUAGUUUCGGCCAUGUUGGCCCUUGUGCUGACGGGGCUAGGCAAGGCUCUCUCCAGCGAAGUGGUUGGCGGUGGUGUGCUUCACUGUCGGUGUUUGUAAUUGCGAUGAUCAAUCCGGCAUGCGGCAAUGGCCUUGCUGUGGCUUAUGGUAGCCACCGGAAGAUCUUCGUGAGAGUUACAUCUCUUGAGAUCUUAUGGUAG